UACGAAGGGGGCUAGCGUUGCUCGGAAUGACUGGGCGUAAAGGGCGCGUAGGCGGCCUUCUAAGUCGAACGUGAAAUCCCCGGGCUCAACCCGGGAACUGCGUCCGAUACUGGAAGGCUUGAAUCCGGGAGAGGGAUGCGGAAUUCCAGGUGUAGCGGUGAAAUGCGUAGAUAUCUGGAGGAACACCGGUGGCGAAGGCGGCAUCCUGGACCGGCAUUGACGCUGAGGCGCGAAAGCCAGGGGAGCAAACGGG
rnacentral:rRNA from 1 species